CAGAGGAGAGAUGCCAGUAGCUGACAAAGCCCAGGGCAGCCAUUCAUGACAGAUAAAGGAAAAGUGUGCCAGUCCCUGGCCUAGAAAGACCCACGCAUUUCUGGGAACUUGGUGUGCGAUUCAGGAGAAAGGAGGGACUUUCCAAUAAAUGCCGCUCAGACGCUCGCUCUCCUGUGGGAAUGAAAUGAAAAUGAGAUUCUUACGUCACCCCAUAAGCAGAUUCCCGGUGGAUUAAGAUGCAAACGUGAGCAGCAGAACUUCAUAACCCUACGAAGGUGCAGCUGGCUCACCUUUGCCGCCCUCACCGUGGUUAGACAUGAUCACGUGACUAGGUCCCGCCCAGUGUGUGGUGAGUAAAGGGGACAGGUGUCACCGCACACUCUUCCAGCCUCUCCCCUUCUCGGGGACCGUGGGAGCCAGGUGAGGCCCCGAGAUUUCACACUUGCUGUGGGUCUUGUCAACCCCGAGAAAGAAGACGCCUACCAGGAAGGUCUCCUCGGGGCUAACUGGGCUCAGAUUUAAAAGCGGAACCUGGCAGCCGAGUUAACAGGAAGCCACACAAAGGGGAGGGGCCUCCCCCCAGCGGCCAGCCUCUGCCUGCACCCGGCUCCUGGCCGCUGAGCCAGCCCCUAUACAGGAGAUCCUGGAGUCCUCUCUGAACCAACAGGACUGAGAUGCCCCCCGUCCAGUCAAAGCUGCACAGCAGUAUCCUCAUGAGCAUCUUCAUUGGCCAAAGUGGUUCCAUUCCAGCCCCUCAGGACAGUGCUUUUGGGACCAAUCAAACGGUGAGAAUUUAGAGUCCUCAUUUGCAUGAGGGUGAACCAAUCAGGGACUGGGACGGGGACUUCUGUCUAUAUAAGUCAGGCUCAUGGCACACAUUCCCUUCCCCAUCCUGAUGGACAUCGCCUCUCACUGCACCCCAAGUGGGGAUUCCUGUUGGUGUUGACGGUGCCAGGGAUCCACGGGUUGACAGCCUGGACUGAGGACUAAUUUGAGGGGAAUGAAUUGCAUUUGUUUCAUCCACAACAUGGGGCAGCUACCAGCCUGCGGUCUCUCUGAGACUCCCUGCUCCAGGUGUUCUGGGCGAUGCUGGGUGCUCGGAACCCGGACGUGAGGCUGCCUGAGCCCCAGCCUGCGGCUCACGCUCUCGGGAGAGAACGUCGUCCUCCGGAGGCUGAGGCCCGUGAGCUUUCCUGCCGCUCCUCUUGUCAGUCUUACUCACACGUGGAGGAUGCGAUGGCUGAUUCUACGUGUCAACUUGGCUGCCAUCAGGCAUCAGCGUUCCCUCGGGUUCAGGACACAGGCCGGGACUUACACCGCUGGUGCCCCGUGCUCAGGCCUUCAGACUGGCACUGGGUUGCCCCUGGUUUCCCUGCUUGUCCUGGCAGGCCACAGGACUCCGCCAUCUCCUUAA